GGAUUCAGUGCUGAGAAGCCUGCACAAACAAACCUCGCUAAUUUACUACCUUAAGCCUAAACUCUGCUUAAAUUCCUCAGUAACUACACAGUUCAGCCAUAAGAACACAAGAAGGAUAGAAAUGAGAUUUUCGCCCACCCCGGCAGUUUUGGGGAACCAGCCAGUAGACCUUACUGGCCAGAAAACUGCUUUCCCCCUGAGGCUGCUGCAGCUAAGAGAUCCUGGACUUCUGACACAGAACCUGCUGAAAAGAUUGCAGCAGAAUAUUGACAUCACCGUUGGAACAAAGGGUUUUGGAAAGCUUGUCUCAGAAGUGCCUCGGUACCCCUUCUGCUUCUGGUAUAAAACAAUGUUUUGGAUUCAAGGAACAGAGAUCCACUCAACUAACUUCAAGGAAAAGAGGACUUAUUUAAAGGAGACCCGUGGACAGGAAUGGGCGCAUUGCUAGGAUGCUAUCAGCACCUAAGGAAGGUUAGCCCUGAGCUAACAUCUGCUGCCAAUCCUCCUCUUUUUUGCUGAGCAAGACUGGCCCUGAGCUAACAUCCGUGCCCAUCUUCCUCUAUUUUAUAUGUGGGAUGCCUGCCACAGCAUGACUUGACAAGUGGUGCGUAGGUCUGCACCCAGGAUCCGAACCAGCGAACCCCAGACCACCAAAGCAGAAUGUGCAAACUUAACCGCUGCGCCACCAGGCCAGCCCCACUGACAGCUGUUUUGAUUGGUCAACACCUAUACUGAAUCUAUUAUUAAAUAUUUUAAUACUGACUCUGUGUGUGUGUGUGUGUGUG
rnacentral:lncRNA from 1 species